rnacentral:rRNA from 1 species
GACGAACGCUGGCGGCGUGCUUAACACAUGCAAGUCGAACGGUGAAGCUCCAGCUUGCUGGAGUGGAUCAGUGGCGAACGGGUGAGUAACACGUGAGCAACCUGCCCCUGACUCUGGAAUAAGCGCUGGAAACGGCGUCUAAUACUGGAUACGAGAAGGGUCCGCAUGGGCACUUUCUGGAAAGUUUUUCGGUUGGGGAUGGGCUCGCGGCCUAUCAGCUUGUUGGUGAGGUAAUGGCUCACCAAGGCGACGACGGGUAGCCGGCCUGAGAGGGCGACCGGCCACACUGGGACUGAGACACGGCCCAGACUCCUACGGGAGGCAGCAGUGGGGAAUAUUGCACAAUGGGCGAAAGCCUGAUGCAGCGACGCCGCGUGAGGGAUGACGGCCUUCGGGUUGUAAACCUCUUUCUGCAGGGAAGAAGCGAAAGUGACGGUACCUGCAGAAGAAGCACCGGCUAACUACGUG